GAGAAUUCCAAGCAGGCUCCAUGCUGUCAGCACAGGGCCCGAUGUGGGGCUCGAUCCCACAACCCUGGGACCAAGACCUGAGCUGAGAUCAAGAGUUGGGUGCUCAACCAAUCGAGCCACCCAGGUGCCCCCAGGCCCAGAUUAGAUGUUGAUUUGAUGGGAAAAUAUCUUCCAAGUGCAACUAUUCAACAUGGGCAGGAGAAGGUGGCCAAGGUUUGUUUACACAGUGAAGCUUCUGGUUGCCUUAGAAAUUAUGGAUUUCAUAUCCCUCACUAAGGGAUCAUCUAUACAUCAAAUGCCAGAGGAAUAUGCUAGAAAAACUAUUUUCUGGGCCAGAAGGCAAAGAGAAAAUAAAGAAAGGAAGGCCCUCAAUUUUAGCCCUGUGUGUGUUAAUAAAGGAGAGGAUUCAAUUUAAGACGUAGGUUAAACUUUUAGAGAUUCUACAGCCUCUGUGGCAGCAGCAGGGUAAUGGCAGAGGGGAAUGAAGCAGUAUAGGCAUAUACUAGUGCAUCAGUUAAAGAUGUCCCAGAUGCAAAUGCUGUUCAAGACCUGGAAUAUACCAAAGUUGAGGAAACAGCGAAUCAAGGAACCCAUUGGGGGAAGAAUUGAUUCCUACAGACCACGAGAAACAUAAGCUCUGAAGCAUCAACAAUAAUCUGGUUCAGGAAUCUAAGAGUAACUCUUCAGCUGAAUCAAAUAUGACAACUAAGCAAAAGUCUCCUUCCUAGAGAGAUUUUAUAAUCCUAAGCAAUUUAAUAUCAAGAAGCUAUAGAAGCGCUUCCUGUGGUGUAGGACAAAAAAGUCCUGCUCAUGAGUUGUUGAUGAGGCCUACACUUAGUUCGGCAUAGGGAUGCCAGAAACAUGAGCUAAGGGAAAACAGGAAAUCAGAGAUUAUGAACAUGUAGAAAGGCAGGGGCAUGUCAAACAAAGUCUGGUGAUUCGGGCUGCCAUCAACGCAAAUUUCUAACUUUGCAAGAUUGUAACGUCCCAAAUGCUACUAUCUUAAAAAGAAGACUAUCAGCAGAGCCUCAGCACCCCUCCUAUAUGACACUACAUAGCGUCAAAAUGAACUCCCAGAUGGGAGUUUGAACCUGAUUCCGUGUAAAUUCAGAUACCAGAUACUUCAGAUAACUAGCCUGGACUCACUGGCAUCAUGAAGAGGUUAAACUAAGAUAUUUUCUUGAUGUCACUUCCUUUUGUCCACUACUAUUGAAUCUCUGCCAGGAUCUAAAAAAAAAAUUUUUUUUAAUGUUUAUUUAUUUGUGAGAGAGAGAGAGGGAGAGAGACAGAGCACGAGAGGGGCAGGGGCAGAGAGAGAUACACACACAGAAUCCAAAGCAGGCUCCAGGCUCUGAGCUGUCAGCACAGAGCCCAACACCGGGCUCCAACUCAUGAACUGUGAGAUCAUGACCUGAGCUGAAGUUGCACGCUUAACUGAUGAGCCAUCCAGGCAUCCCUCUGUUAGGGUCUUUAGUGACACUAACUCAGGGCUCUGGAAACAUCAUCCUACUUGUGAUAACGCGAUUGAGUUGUUUUUCUAGAUUUGGUGGUUUCGGGGGUUGCUGUGAUAGUCUUUUGUGUUGUUAAGUCUUGGAGCCUUUAAAUACAGGACAUCCUGGAGACGCAGUCAGUAUGCACCCUAGAGGAUCUAUAUCCAUUCCACAGAACAUAGCCCAGCUUGUAGCUGCCAAAGACACCCCAGCUCUACUUGGCAGCAAAGACCCUUCUAGCUGAGAGUAGACAGAAAUAAGAAAUCAGAGAGGAUGAAGUCUGGACUUCAAUUUCUUUGGAUCUUUGACUUACAAGUGCAAGAGAACGUGAUUUUGCAUUUUAAUUCUUUUGACCUCUGAAAUCUUUGGACUAAUUUGCAUGGAAUUUAAUUUUUAACUUCAAUUUCCUCCCAGGAAAAUCCAUUAAAAAAGGCAGUUAAGAUUAAAUUUAGGACUUUGUAUGUUGAUGACAUUUUUAUGAAAUGUGUUAUAUUGUUAUUUUAUUUCUUUGCCAAACCUUUGAUAAACUACAUUGGACAAUGUGGCUGGAAUAAUUUGGGAAGGGAAAUAGAAUAUAGAAAGAAUUUUUAGCCUUGGAUGCAGGUUUUAGAAUUAAUUUAAUUAAUGUGUUAUUCUGACCCAUUUUAGAGCCUUCUGGAGUUAAAAAUAAAACACUGCCCACCAGCAUCCCGGAAGAGUUGCAGCUGGUGUUGGGGGAAUAGUCUUUUGAAAGUGGGGGACGAGGACUGCCCAGGUAGAUUGUUAACUUUGUCUCCAGAGGGCAGCCACACCACUGGUUAAUGGUUAAACUAAAUGGAGUAAGAGAAGAAAAAUGUGGAGAACGUUGGAGGAGGGGAAUCUUUUUUCCCAUGACUUUCUGGUCUUUCCUCAUCAUCACUCACUCCUCCCAGAACUUGUCAGACUUACUGCCACUGCCUGCAUGAUCAGUGCUGGCCAAGCCAGCAGGCUCCUCCACCGUCUCCCUCCUCCUGGCUCCUGGAGAUCUGCCUGCCUGCUGCACACAUGUGUUCCACCCUGUUUUUGCAUUUUAAACAAUGAAGCAAUGAACAUUGACCUGUAUAGCUGCUUCUUUGGACACAUGUGCAAAUGUUUUUUCUGAUAAAUUCUUAGAGGACGACUUGCUGAGUUAAAGAUACAUGCAGGUGCGAGGGACAUUCCUGGGGAAGAGCCUUUCUUGGCCAUUUACCACAGUGUUUCCUUACUUAAACACCAAAUGGACUUACUAAACUGUACUAGGGCAGAUGGCACAGCAAGACUUAGUCUGUUCCAGUCCAAAGAGAUAAUUUAUGUAAAUUACGUGACCAUAGACAUUAUAUGAUAUCCUUUAACAUCCCUUUGACAUACCAUGGCAAUCUUCCUCCACCGCAUAGCAGUAUGGGAAGUGUCCUUCUAAGUCCUUUCCCAUACAUUUACUUCCUGUCUUAAGGAUCUUUGCAUGCCUGCUACUUUGUAAUACCUCUGCUAAUGAAUAGAGGAAGCUGCCUUCAGUACUCUAAAUGAGAAAAGAAAUGCUGUUACUGGAUUCCAUUCCUGUCUAUCAUCUUGUUCAAAAGGAGGGGAGUGAGUCAGAUCAAGAGAAUGAGUCACCAAGUCAUAGCCAAGGUGAUAAACCUCAAGACUUGCAUCUAUCUGCUCCAUGGUCAAAGAGGAAAACCUUACCAUCUGAGUGGUGAGAAACCAGAGUGUGUACUAUCUGAACAUGUAAUGUUAUUUUGAGAAAAAAAUAAAGUGACUUUCCUAAAAAAC